rnacentral:rRNA from 1 species
GAUGAACGCUGGCGGCGUGCCUAAUACAUGCAAGUCGAGCGAACAGACGAGGCUCUUGCUCCUUCGACGUUAGCGGCGGACGGGUGAGUAACACGUAGGUAAUCUACCUAUAAGACUGGGAUCACCUCGGGAAACCGGAGCUAACACCGGAUAAUAUUUCGAACCGCAUGGUUCGAUAGUGAAAGAUGGCUUUGCUAUCACUUAUAGAUGGACCUGCGCCGUAUUAGCUAGUUGGUAAGGUAACGGCUUAUCAAGGCAACGAGUCGUAGCCGACCUGAGAGGGUGAUCGGCGACACUGGAACUGGGACACGGUCCAGGCUCCUACGGGAGGCAGCAGUAGGGAAUCUUCCGCAAUGGGCGAAAGCCUGACGGAGCAACGCCGCGUGAGUGAUGAAGGUCUUCGGAUCGUAAAACUCUGUUAUUAGGGAAGAACAAACGUGUAAGUAACUGUGCACGUCUUGACGGUACCUAAUCAGAAAGCCACGGCUAACUACGUG